GCCAGACUCCUACGGGAGGCAGCAGUGGGGAAUAUUGCACAAUGGGGGAAACCCUGAUGCAGCGACGCCACGUGAGUGAAGAAGUAUUUCGGUAUGUAAAGCUCUAUCAGCAGGGAAGAAAAUGACGGUACCUGACUAAGAAGCCCCGGCUAACUACGUGCCAGCAGCCGCGGUAAUACGUAGGGGGCAAGCGUUAUCCGGAUUUACUGGGUGUAAAGGGAGCGUAGACGGCCAUGCAAGCCAGGGGUGAAAGCCCGGGGCCCAACCCCGGGACUGCCCUUGGAACUGCAUGGCUGGAGUGCGGGAGGGGCAGGCGGAAUUCCUAGUGUAGCGGUGAAAUGCGUAGAUAUUAGGAGGAACACCAGUGGCGAAGGCGGCUUGCUGGACAGUAACUGACGUUGAGGCUCGAAAGCGUGGGGAGCAAACAGGAUUAGAUCCCCUUGUA
rnacentral:rRNA from 1 species